rfam:Erinaceus europaeus unplaced genomic scaffold scaffold00473, whole genome shotgun sequence
AUCACUUCUCAGACUUUUGGCUAAAAUCACAUGUCGUAUCUGUUCUUAUCAGUUUAAUAUCUGACAUGUCCUCUAUCCAAUGACAAUAUAUUAAAUGGAAUUUUGGAGCAGGGAACUGGAAUAGGGUUUACUCAACCUGGUAUUGCAAGAGUGAUGCACUCUUCCUCAUAAAAAAAAAAUGAAA